CAAAUUAUAAGCAAGUUUGCAAUUGGGCAACAGCUGUCCUGGGACAGGAAAAGGAAGCUUUUGACAACAGUCUCCAAAGCAGUCACGAGUAGUUUAAAACAAGAGGCAGAGGUUCAUCAAGAACAUCUUUGCUAUUAGAGUGAAAAAGAGAGUAAAGAAAACAGACACAAGGGAUGUGGACCACUGAUGAGAACAAAGCAGCUAAUGAAACUACAAAAUCUGAGUUUGCAGAGAUCCAGAGCUUUGGUUACCCAGCUACCUCAUAUCAUA